AAAGGCAUUGCUUAGUAGCGGCGAGUGAGCGGCAAAAGCUCAAAUUUGAAAUCUGGCGCCUUCGGUGUCCGAGUUGUAAUUUGAAGAUUGUAACCUUGGGGUUGGCUCUUGUCUAUGUUUCUUGGAACAGGACGUCACAGAGGGUGAGAAUCCCGUGCGAUGAGAUGCCCAAUUCUAUGUAAGGUGCUUUCGAAGAGUCGAGUUGUUUGGGAAUGCAGCUCUAAGUGGGUGGUAAAUUCCAUCUAAAGCUAAAUAUUGGCGAGAGACCGAUAGCGAACAAGUACAGUGAUGGAAAGAUGAAAAGAACUUUGAAAAGAGAGUGAAAAAGUACGUGAAAUUGUUGAAAGGGAAGGGUUUGAGAUCAGACUCGAUAUUUUGUGAGCCUUGCCUUCGUGGCGGGGUGACCCGCAGCUUAUCGGGCCAGCAUCGGUUUGGGCGGUAGGAUAAUGGCGUAGGAAUGUGACUUUACUUCGGUGAAGUGUUAUAGCCUGCGUUGAUGCUGCCUGCCUAGACCGAGGACUGCGAUUUUAUCAAGGAUGCUGGCAUAAUGAUCCCAAACCGCCCGUCUUGAAACACGGGGACC
rnacentral:rRNA from 1 species